GGGUGAUGCGAGUGGGGCACACGGAGACAGACAAACGCUGCAGGAGCCGACUACCAGCGCCGGAAGACGAAGCAGUUAAGUCCAUUUAAAACUGCGGAACUGGCCAGGUUUGAUGGCGAGCUAAGGAACUAGGAACUGAAUCCAUGCACGUUGGGCAAUGAGUCUGCAAGCCACCCGCUACACUGCUCACUUCCCAGGAACCGAUCCUCCUGCUCUGGUCGGGCUGGUAGGAGGCUCUUCGUUGCAGCCAUUUUUUUUCCCCCUUUGUUGUAUGCCCUCGCGGCUCGUACGCUUGAGCGGCCUGUCACACACACACACACACACACGUGCAUUCCCUUUCCCCACUUUGGACACUGCCCCUUCUGGACACUCAGGCCAUCUCAAGUUAUCGUGUUUGCAGCCCUUUGCGUUGUGGGCAACCUGAGCUUUUGCGAGCUCAUUAUGUGAACUGACUGAGCUCAUCAAACUGAUUGGGCUCAUUGAACUUUUGGAUUUGAACGUAUUGAACUUAUUAUACUCAUUUGAUUGCCUUGAACUCAUUAAAUGUUAAUUUGAAUUUGAAAUUUAUUUUUUCUUUUUUUUUUGUGAGUGGCCAUUCCUUCUGUUUUGUUGGUUAUAUAUUUUUUUUCCUUUCAAUAUAUGGUAUCAUUUUGAGCCGCAAGUUCUGCCUCAGCCUCUUUCUUUCUCCACUCCUAGAGCCGA